CAAAACCGUACUUGCAAUAAUUCAAUUUAUUUUACUCUUAUAACAGCUUUAAACAAACAAAAAGUAGAGUAAAGGAUUAUCUUGAUAUAGUUGUUCCAAAAACUUAACGAUAUUUAAAAAAAUAUAAACAAUGAUCUUAUCAUAUGUGGUAUAAUAACAUAUAAUUUUAUUUCUUAGAAAUUCAUCGAAAAGAAAUAAUAAUUUCCUUUAAUUAAUCAAUCGUAGCUAAAGUUCAAAGUUUUCGAUAAUUAAUUGGCUUGUAUAAAUUUGUUAAUUACUGCUACUGUGUGUUUUCACUUCUUAUCUCAGACAAAUCUACAAAAUAAACAAAAUGAAAUAAAGUAAAUGCUUCUUUGAAUAUAGAAUUAAUAAAGCCAAUGAUACGGUAGCACGAGGUUUACCUUGCCGAGGUUUAGCUGGCAACCAAGAAUAUAAUGAACUAAAACUACUUACAAUAAAAUCGCCAAUUAUGGUCUUUAACAAGCCCGAGCGUUUUGUAUUCUCGAGUUAAGCUAUCAGGUACAAAGAGCUAAAGAAGACACACUUUUCCGGAUCGUUACAAUUCUCUAACGAUUAUUACCGUCUUUGUGCAUUCAUUAACAAUUAAAGAAAACAAUUUAAACUUCCAUGUUUCAGUUUUAAAUUAUACAGUUUAAUAAAUUUUUGCCUUAAUUAAACAAGAAUUGUAAUUAAUUCACUAAAACUCAAUCGUAACUUAAGUCAAUUUAGUCUACAGUUACAUCAUACAGAGGCAGUCUGACUAUCAUGGUGGGCAUUGCAAUUUAUAAAUGGUAAUAAAAUGCAAUAAUAAUAUUUCUGAUUAUAUUCUAGAUUAACUUGUGCGUAAACACUUGGAGUCAACCGUUAGUGUAAGUGGAGUCCGUCUUGAUUGGUAGCAGAGUGCGAUAGUGAUUCACUAAUAAAAGAUUUUAUGUGCAUCUAACCUGGUGGUCCAACCGGGUCGGUUUCGUUUUAGUGUUAAAUGAAUUGUAUUUUGAAGAAACCAAACCGUUUAUUUCAAGCGAAGAACCCACGUAGGUAUCUCUCAUUUCAUCGAAUUAUUAUUCUGGUUUUUGUCGACACUCGUGUGAGUUCUUCGAUUUAAUUGAGAUCUAGGAAUAAUUUAUUCAAACGUAUCCAAGUGUUUUCCGGUAAUUAUUUUAAAUGUUCAUUCAGUGCUAGAAAAAUAAGAGUAUCACUGAUUGCUUUAAUGUCAUGAUAUGACUCAAUUUAACUAGUAAAUCUACAAUUUAUAAUCAUUUAAAAGAUUUUUCUAUUCAAGUGUUUUUGACUAAGUAAAUGUGCUCCUGAUGGGGUUAAACUUGGACCACCAAGUUAAAAAAAAAUAAGAAAAAAUCUUUUAGAUACAAUGAUUUUAACAUUUAUAAUAUUCUCAUUUUUUCUAUUUUAUUAGAUUAACUUCUUUCAACGUUGAGUUAAAAAUGUUUUCUUAGUCCAUAGAAUAUGGACAAAAUUUAUUAACAAAACUAACAAAACUAACUCUUUAAAUGUUUAAAUCAUUAAAUUGCCUGUGAAAACUUCUAAUAUUAACAUAACCAAAUUACUUUUUUCCAUUCUUUGCAGUAACAUGCCUCAAUAUAUAGGUAUAAAUAUUUUAAUUGCUAAUUUAACAAUUUUCUAUAAUUUCACUGACUGAGUUUUGAAUCAUCUUGCAUUUACACACGAUAACCCUGUGCGUAUGCGCUUAUUAUGGUGCAUCAAUCUUGUUCUCUCACAUUUGUACCCAUAACCACAAUGGUAAUGCCCGCACGUAUAUCCAUGAGCCUAGGAGAUCGUAAUUAAAAUACGAACAGGUAUAUAUGCCGUUUUGCGGCUACGUUUGUGCUCAACGUACGCGCGACCAUGGUUUAUAGCUAUACCUUGAAUUUUAGAACGUAGCUGAUAUACAAAUCAACAAGCAGACAAAUGCUCACUCUGCGUGCACCUUCAGAUCCGUACUUUUGAUGAAUGUUCCCAACUUAUAAAAAAUUAAAAAUUGAGAAAAUAUUAAAACACUAACAAAUAAUAACGUGAAUUUUUGUUAAGCAAAUAGAUUUUGCAAAAUAGCAAUAGAUUGUUACCAUCAGACAUAAAUCCAUUGCUGUUGGAAUUACAGUUUCGCUUAACAUGGCAAACAGGAGAGUUAAAUGUUUACAUCUCCGUAGAAAUAAUAUUGCAACCGAAGCAGACAAGGCUUAUUCGCGGCAAAAGGUAACGAAAUUCUGGUACGAACAAACAACGGCUUGAAUUGAUAUAAAUUGAAACAACAGUGGCAGACGAAGAAUUACAUUCUUGCAUCACCAAACUCGGCGCGUAUGACCGUUAUUAUGCAGGUGCAUCGCAUCGUGGGCAGACAAAGCCAAACGCAACGGCGGCGCCGGUGGUAGCGGUACGCGGCAAAAUAGAAAAGCGGAUGCAUGUUAACGUGCCAUUCAUCAUGAGAGAAAGCGAACGCCCGUACACGCACUGCGGUUUGAUCGCAGUCCUUUUGCCCGUGCGCCACCUCGCCAUGUAUUUGCUGCGUAGGUCCGCCACUGCGCUCGGCGUAAUGAAAAGUUGCGUAUUGCGUUUGCGCUGCCUUUGUGUUACUAUCAACGAGUACACCUGUACUACAUGAUGUGCUGCGGUAAACUUCAUAGAAGAAUAGGGCAUGCCGGCCUUUGGUCGGCUUUCAACCACUACGACCAGCGCGGCAAAGUCCAGCACAUGAGUGAAAUAUGAAAAUUAAAAUAACAUGCGUUCUUUUAUACGUGCAAUUUUAUACGGCAUAUGAGCAUGAAGUUUUGGAUAGUAUAUACAAAGGAAUACAUAAACGUGUUUCGCUUUACAUUUUUGAUAUGUUUAUCUUUAUUUUAGACAAAUCUUUUUUUCUAAUAUAUAUUAUUAAUAUUGUAAUAUAGUAUAUUGUGCAUUUAAUAUAUUGUACCAAAAACAGAACCAAUACAAAAAAUGUUUUUGAUGUCAAA